GCAGUGUCUCACGCCUGUAAUCCCAACACUUUGGGAUGCUUAGGCAGGAGGACCACGAGGUCAAGAGAUCGAGACCAUCCUGGUCAACAUGGUGAAACCCCGUCUCUAC